rnacentral:rRNA from 1 species
AACGAACGCUAUCGGUAUGCUUAACACAUGCAAGUCGGACGGACUAAUUAGGGCUUGCUCCACUUAGUUAGUGGCAGACGGGUGAGUAACACGUGGGAAUCUGCCCAUCAGUACGGAAUAACUUUUAGAAAUAAAAGCUAAUACCGUAUAUUCUCUACAGAGGAAAGAUUUAUCGCUGAUGGAUGAGCCCGCGUCAGAUUAGGUAGUUGGUGAGGUAACGGCUCACCAAGCCGACGAUCUGUAGCUGGUCUGAGAGGAUGAUCAGCCACACUGGGACUGAGACACGGCCCAGACUCCUACGGGAGGCAGCAGUGGGGAAUAUUGGACAAUGGGCGAAAGCCUGAUCCAGCAAUACCGAGUGAGUGAUAAAGGCCCUAGGGUUGUAAAGCUCUUUUAGCAAGGAAGAUAAUGACGUUACUUGCAGAAAAAGCCCCGGCUAACUCCGUG